CAGUAGCCGCGGUAAUACGAGGGGGGCAAGCGUUGUUCGGAUUUAUUGGGCGUAAAGGGUGCGUAGGCGGUUUGGCAAGUCUUGUGUGAAAUCUUCGGGCUCAACCCGAAGCCUGCACGAGAAACUACCGGGCUUGAGUAUUGGAGAGGUGAGUGGAAUUUCCGGUGUAGCGGUGAAAUGCGUAGAUAUCGGAAGGAACACCUGUGGCGAAAGCGGCUCACUGGACAAUAACUGACGCUGAUGCACGAAAGCUAGGGGAGCAAACAGGAUUAGAUACCCCAGUAGUCCCUGUCUCUUAUAA
rnacentral:rRNA from 1 species